CUUUUUCAUGAACUAUACCUUUCCCAUAAAGUUAAUAUACCUAGCGGAGUAGAGAACCAAAGGCCUGAGCAAACGAGAUGUCACUAACAGUAUCACUGCGUGG